rnacentral:rRNA from 1 species
UACAGAGGUCUCAAGCGUUGUUCGGAUUCAUUGGGCGUAAAGGGUGCGUAGGCGGCGCGGUAAGUCGGGUGUGAAAUCUCGGGCUUAACUCCGAAACUGCAUUCGAUACUGCCGUGCUUGAGGACUGGAGAGGAGACUGGAAUUUACGGUGUAGCGGUGAAAUGCGUAGAUAUCGUAAGGAAGACCAGUGGCGAAGGCGGGGUCUCUGGACA